GAGAAAAGGAACGACAACAGCGCAGUUCCUCAUAUGAUAAGAAGAAAGUGGAACCAGCGGUUUCUGAUACACAAGAUCUUAUCUCGUCGUGUGUAUGAGAUUUGCGAAAACAAGUUUAUGUGAGACAGUCGGGAACAACAGGGAGAGGGAAGAUUAGUUUCUCAGAUAAAAAGGAGAUCUCAGAUAAAAAGGAGAGAGAUGGAUUAGUUUCUCAGUUAAACAGGAGAGAGAAGGACUAGGUUUGAGGUUAUGUGACAAGGAGAUUAGUUUCUAGCUCAGAUAAAAAGGAAAGGGAUGAAUUAGUGUCUCAAAUAAAAAAGAGAUGCGAGUAGUUCAUAUUCAGUAGGUUUGAGCUGAAUACAGGGGAAACAAAUAAAACUGUACAGAGUUUCUGCUUAAAGUGCUACUUCCUGCCCCCUGCUGGCCACGCCCAAAUCCACCCUGCUGGCCACGCCCAAAUCCACCCUGCUGUGCUUGCUGAAGUUUGAUUGGUUUCUCUUCUGUGUUAAAUUCAAGGCCUGCUUCAAUCAUGAAGAUAUAAACUUGACGCAUUAUUCCUGAAAACAGUUUUUCUAAUGCUUUUACCUUCUCUGCGAAACUUAAUAAAGGUACUAUUUUCAUGGGUUCCACACCUGAUAAGUAUGUGUUGACCAAAAAAUCUAUUGUCUCCUGGAAGGUAAUUCUGUUUUUUUCUGCAAUUUCAGCUACAUAUUUAUAUGCCUCUUUCACGUCAUAUUGGUAUCUAUCAUACUCUCUCUUAUUGUACCUGCGGAUAGUCUCAUUCAAAUGCUGCAGGACAUCUUUAUAGUAGUGGAGGAACCCCUUCCCGUCCUUGGUGUAGUAAUGCUUGUAAUCAUCAUAGACUUGUUUGAAGAACUUGGCCGCUUGUACCCCCUCUUGUAUGGCCUCAUCUAAAAUGGUUUCUAUGGCCAGUCGUGGUAUCCUCUGAAUAAGGCCAUUCCAUAUUCCUCUGUGGGUUGUAGCUCUUUGUGUGAUCUCAACGUACACAUUAUACACUAGGAUUCCUUUCUCCUCUGGUGUUAAUAACGAAGGAUGAUAAUACAAUUUUCUAAGUUUGUUCCUGCAUGAAUGAGAAAUAAAACCAAUAUGUUAUGCUGAACAACCAAUAUUUGUUUAUGUUUUUUGUCAAGUUAUGCAACACUUCAAAUAAAAAAGAUUACUUACACAUCGUUUUCUACUCUUGCUAGCAGGUUAAGAAAAUGAUUGAAGUCUCCCGGAUAGCAGUGUUCCUUUGGAUGAAGCUUUUCGGCCAAUCGGAAUAGGCAUGCUGGGUACAUUUCUAAAGUCUGGUAUGCUUCAUGGGUUCUGUCUGCAAUCUGCUUUAUUUUAUACCUUCCUCCGAUGUUGUCAAUGUCUAGUUUGCCUGAACAGUCUCCUUUUCUCAUCCUAUUGACGCAGUGGAAAAUAAGAUCCCUGUCAAGGCAGAUUGAUAAGUUAUUACCAUAUUAUUAUGUAUAUAGUUUUGAUUUGUAAUGUAGCAGAUUGAUAAGUUAGCAGACCAGUAAUAAGGUAGCAGAUUGAUCAGUUGAUACCAUAUCAUAUAUACUUUCAAAUCAAUUGGUAAAUGAUCAAG